rnacentral:rRNA from 1 species
GACAGAGGGUGCAAACGUUGCUCGGAAUCACUGGGCGUAAAGGGCGCGUAGGCGGGGAUGUAAGUCGGGCGUGAAAUCCCCAGGCUCAACCUGGGAACUGCACUCGAAACUGCGUUUCUUGAGUAUCGGAGAGGAAAGCGGAAUUCCUGGUGUAGAGGUGAAAUUCGUAGAUAUCAGGAGGAACACCAGUGGCGAAGGCGGCUUUCUGGACGGUAACUGACGCUGCGGCGCGAAAGCGUGGGGAGCAAGCAGG